AAAUUUGAUUUUCUAUACUUAGAAAAUCAAAAAUUUUUUCCCUAAACCAAAAAUUUAAAACCUAAAAAAACUAUUCCUUUUUUUUCAAAACCCCAAAAAUACCCCCCUCACAAUAUUCUCUCUCUCUGCAUCAUCUCUCUCUCCCUCUAUCUCACACCCGAACCCCAACCCCUCCGACCCCAACGCCGAUCACCACCCGAACCCCAACCCCUCCGACCCCAACCCCAACCCGAAAGAGCAACCCCAGUCCGACCCCAACCCCUCCGACUGUCUGUGAAACUUUUUUUUUUCCUGCGAUUUGAGAGAGGGAGGAAGAGAGAGGUCCGAUGGUCGGACCUUGGGGUCCGAUGGGUCCGAUUGGUCGGACCCCAUCGGACCCCAAGGUCCGACCAUAGGUGUGAAUUUUUUUUUUUUUUUUCUGCGAUUUGAGAGAGAGAGGAAGAAAGAGGUCCGAUGGUCGGACCUUGGGGUCCGAUGGGUCCGAUUGGUCGGACCCCAUCGGACCCCAUGGUCCGACCAUCGGACCUGGGGUGUGGGAUUCUUGGGACCGGCCGAGAUAGAGAGAGAAAGAGAGAUGCUGUGAGAGUUUGGGGGUAUUUU